rnacentral:lncRNA from 1 species
UGGGACUUUUGGGGGCUCCAGCAAGGAAAAGAGCUUCGUCUAUCUCUAGACCCCAGCGUCGAAGGGUCUUCAGCACACGGGCGCCUGAACUGGCUGCACUCCUAGCUGUAACCAGGCUCAUCUAUGGAUGGAGCCUUGGUGGAUGGGCUCCGGGAUAUUCUAGACCAUUGACUGCGCACAAGGUACCCUCGAGAGUCUGUCUUCCGCAGUGAUGAUUCUUGUGAUCCCUGUGAUGGAAAGAAGAAAC